UUAAAAAAAAUGAACAAGGUUUCCGUAGGUGAACCUGCGGAAGGAUCAUUACCGAGUUGAUUCGAGCUCCGGCUCGACUCUCCCACCCAAUGUGUACCUACCUCUGUUGCUUUGGCGGGCCGCGGUCCUCCGCACCGGCGCCCUUCGGGGGGCUGGCCAGCGCCCGCCAGAGGACCAUAAAACUCCAGUCAGUGAACUUCGCAGUCUGAAAAACAAGUUAAUAAACUAAAACUUUCAACAACGGAUCUCUUGGUUCUGGCAUCGAUGAAGAACGCAGCGAAAUGCGAUAAGUAAUGUGAAUUGCAGAAUUCAGUGAAUCAUCGAAUCUUUGAACGCACAUUGCGCCCCUUGGUAUUCCGAGGGGCAUGCCUGUUCGAGCGUCAUUUCAACCCUCAAGCUCUGCUUGGUAUUGGGCCCCGUCCUCCACGGACGCGCCUUAAAGACCUCGGCGGUGGCGUCUUGCCUCAAGCGUAGUAGAAAACACCUCGCUUUGGAGCGCACGGCGUCGCCCGCCGGACGAACCUUUGAAUUAUUUCUCAAGGUUGACCUCGGAUCAGGGUCAGGGAUACCCGCUGAACUUAAGCAUAUCAUAGGGAAGAA
rnacentral:rRNA from 1 species